ensembl:lncRNA MIR4435-2HG MIR4435-2 host gene
CUUAGUCGUGUGUACAUCAUUGGGAAUGGAGGGAAAUAAAUGACUGGAUGGUCGCUGCUUUUUAAGUUUCAAAUUGACAUUCCAGACAAGCGGUGCCUGAGCCCGUGCCUGUCUUCAGAUCUUCACAGCACAGUUCCUGGGAAGGUGGAGCCACCAGCCUCUCCCUGGCUCUGCCGACUUCCAGUUCUGGAACAAGAUGGUUAAACUCAUUUUUCCCUGCUCUGCUCCUCUAAAUACAACUAAGUACCUUGGAAACUAUUCAGCAGACAAUGAUAAAGGGCUCUGAAAGCUAGAAGAAAAGGUGUACUUGCAAGAAACCUCAGGACUUGAGUAACAGCAACAUGGCAGGCCAGAAAGCAGACCCAGGGAGGAUAGCACAUGUCUUCGGCUACACUGGUGAAGGCAUCGUGCCUGCUCCACAGCACAUUUUUAUUCAAGCUCACCAAGCUCCUGUAUCUACUGGAAAAUGGAAGUCCAGCCUUACCAACUUGUGAACCUUGUCUGAAGGGAGCCAGGGCCUGCCAAUGGAACCACCUCCAGGAGCUGCAACUGCUGUUGUCAUUAAUACCAUUGUGUCUAUUUUUUGAGAGAGAUAAACUUUUCAUGGUGUUACAUUUUGGAAAAAAAAAAAAAAGACUAGGUGAACAGUCAGGUAGGAAAGCAGCAUAACAGUCCCUUAAAUUCUGAUCAUGUAGGACAUUCUUCUUUGCCCUGGGCCUGGGAAAAUGCAGCAUGUUCCAGAGCAAAAGUCCUAAUGAGGGGAACUAAACCAGUGGGACCCAAACCAAUGUCCUGGCUCACUGAGGACCCGUUAGAACCAAAUCUCUGGGUGUGGACAGGCUCCCAUACUUUUCAAAAAUUCCCCUGAUGACUAAUGAACAACCAGAGGUAAGAACCAGUGGCCCAGAGGAAUAACCAGCCCAGCUGUUGUACGAGCUCGCUAAGCUGGCUCAGGUCAAUGUUGAAUUCUCUGCUAGGCAGCUCCUCAUAAGAACUGGCAGAGAUGGUUCUUACACAACAACAGGUGACAACUCCAGACUCUGCCGGAAGUUCCAGGAUCUGGGUUCCCGGACAAUGCAUGACACUCAGUCCAGCAUUGCAGGUGGAAGAGCGACGGUGAAAAGACCAAAGUCAAUUAAAAUGUGUUAACCAAAACAGGAAACAUGAGUGAGGUGAUUGAGAGUGUGUUUAACUUAGAUGUGUGAUUUUAUCAAUACUUUCAUUGUUCAAAAACUCUUAUUUUUUAAAGAUAUUUUCAAAACAAAUCCAAACUUUACUUUUCAUUCCAAAUUCGUGUUCCGUCUAUACUUGCAUUUGGGGAAAGAUUGAAACAAAACACAAAUACUUUGUAGCAAUGUUGGAGUGUCAUGUUCUUUGCAGAGGGACAGGAAAAAAAAAGGAUUUUUUUUUCUUAUCA